AUUGAACGCUGGCGGCAGGCCUAACACAUGCAAGUCGAACGAGUGGCGGACGGGUGAGUAAUGUCUGGGAACCUGCCUGAAGGAGGGGGAUAACUACUGGAAACGGUAGCUAAUACCGCAUACCAUCGGAUGUGCCCAGAUGGGAUUAGCUAGGAGGUGGGGUAACGGCUCGCCUAGGCGACGAUCCCUAGCUGGUCUGAGAGGAUGACCGGCCACCCUGGACCUGAGACACGGUCCAGACUCCUACGGGAGGCGGCAGUGGGGAUUAUUGCACAAUGGGCGCAAGCCUGAUGCGGCCAUGCCGCCUGUAUGAAGAGGGCCUCCGGGUUUUAAAGUACUUUCGGCGGGGAGGCGUUACCCGCAGAAGAAGCACCGGCUAACUCCGUGCCAGCAGCCGCGGUAAUUC
rnacentral:rRNA from 1 species